rnacentral:lncRNA from 1 species
UUGGUGCUUCACAAUUAUGCACAAAUCAAAGCUGUUUGCAAUUAUUACUUUCACGCUCACCGUACUGCCAGUCGUGAUUGGCGCUACGUGGACAAAUAAGACAGAUGAUCCGUGUGACAGAAGAAACCAUACAUGUUGGUACCCAGAUAUGUGCAAAACCUGUCCAAAAGACAUUGUGCAGGGUUAUAUAAGGGCACAUAUAUAUUACUUCGACAAUAAAAAAAACGACUGCAUGCCGGCUGUUGGUACCAGCAACAGCUGCAACAGUUUCGACACUUACAACGAGUGCACGUUCCUCUGCGGGUUGUCUGAAGCAGAUUAAUAUUGAAGAGCAAAGCGCACCGGUUCCUGUAUGAAAAUAUUCUGGAUAUCACACCGGAGCUAGCAUGUGGAAGUCAUUCAAAUUGGUUUUGGCUAUCCUGUUGAAGAUGUUGCUCAAUAAAAGAUUUUGAAUUUAA